AUUGAACGCUGGCGGCAUGCCUUACACAUGCAAGUCGAACGGCAGCACGGGUGCUUGCACCUGGUGGCGAGUGGCGAACGGGUGAGUAAUACAUCGGAACAUGUCCUGUAGUGGGGGAUAGCCCGGCGAAAGCCGGAUUAAUACCGCAUACGAUCUACGGAUGAAAGCGGGGGACCUUCGGGCCUCGCGCUAUAGGGUUGGCCGAUGGCUGAUUAGCUAGUUGGUGGGGUAAAGGCCUACCAAGGCGACGAUCAGUAGCUGGUCUGAGAGGACGACCAGCCACACUGGGACUGAGACACGGCCCAGACUCCUACGGGAGGCAGCAGUGGGGAAUUUUGGACAAUGGGCGAAAGCCUGAUCCAGCAAUGCCGCGUGGGUGAAGAAGGCCUUCGGGUUGUAAAGCACUUUUGUCCGGAAAGAAAUCCUUGGCCCUAAUACGGUCGGGGGGAUGACGGUACCGGAAGAAUAAGCACCGGCUAACUACGUG
rnacentral:rRNA from 1 species